rnacentral:rRNA from 1 species
AUUGAACGCUGGCGGCAUGCCUUACACAUGCAAGUCGAACGGCAGCACGGGUGCUUGCACCUGGUGGCGAGUGGCGAACGGGUGAGUAAUACAUCGGAACAUGUCCUGUAGUGGGGGAUAGCCCGGCGAAAGCCGGAUUAAUACCGCAUACGAUCUACGGAUGAAAGCGGGGGACCUUCGGGCCUCGCGCUAUGGGGUUGGCCGAUGGCUGAUUAGCUAGUUGGUGGGGUAACGGCCUACCAAGGCGACGAUCGGUAGAUGGUCUGAGAGGACGACCAGCCACACUGGGACUGAGACACGGCCCAGACUCCUACGGGAGGCAGCAGUGGGGAAUUUUGGACAAUGGGCGAAAGCCUGAUCCAGCAAUGCCGCGUGUGUGAAGAAGGCCUUCGGGUUGUAAAGCACUUUUGUCCGGAAAGAAAUCCUUGGCUCUAAUACAGUCGGGGGAUGACGGUACCGGAAGAAUAAGCACCGGCUAACUACGUG